GACGAACGCUGGCGGCGUGCUUAACACAUGCAAGUCGAACGGAAAGGCCCUGCUUUUGUGGGGUGCUCGAGUGGCGAACGGGUGAGUAACACGUGAGUAACCUGCCCUUGACUUUGGGAUAACUUCAGGAAACUGGGGCUAAUACCGGAUAGGAGCUCCUGCUGCAUGGUGGGGGUUGGAAAGUUUCGGCGGUUGGGGAUGGACUCGCGGCUUAUCAGCUUGUUGGUGGGGUAGUGGCUUACCAAGGCUUUGACGGGUAGCCGGCCUGAGAGGGUGACCGGCUACAUUGGGACUGAGAUACGGCCCAGACUCCUACGGGAGGCAGCAGUGGAGAAUAGUGCACAAUGGGCGGAAGCCUGAUGCAGCAACGCCGCGUGCGGGAUGACGGCCUUCGGGUUGUAAACCGCUUUCGCCUGUGACGAAGCGUGAGUGACGGUAAUGGGUAAAGAAGCACCGGCUAACUACGU
rnacentral:rRNA from 1 species